rnacentral:rRNA from 1 species
CAGCAGCCGCGGGAAUACGUAGGUGGCAAGCGUUGUCCGGAAUUAUUGAGCGUAAAGGGCUCGCAGGCGGUUUCUUAAGUCUGAUGUGAAAGCCCCCGGCUCAACCGGGGAGGGUCGUUGGAAACUGGGAAACUUGAGUGCAGAAGAGGAGAGUGGAAUUCCACGUGUAGCGGUGAAAUGCGUAGAGAUGUGGAGGAACACCAGUGGCGAAGGCGACUCUCUGGUCUGUAACUGACGCUGAGGAGCGAAAGCGUGGGGAGCGAACAGGAUUAGAUACCCCGGUAGUCCCUGUCUCUUAUAC